rnacentral:rRNA from 1 species
CCUACGGGUGGCAGCAGUGAGGAAUAUUGGUCAAUGGGCGCGAGCCUGAACCAGCCAAGUCGCGUGAGGGAAGACGGUCCUAUGGAUUGUAAACCUCUUUUGCCGGGGAGCAAGAGACGCCUCGCGUGGCGUUCCGAGAGUACCCGAAGAGAAAGCAUCGGAAAACCCCGUGCCAGCAGCCGCGGUAAUACGGGGGAGGCGAGGGUUAUCCGGAUUUAUUGGGUUAAAAGGGUGGGGAGGCGGAAGAUAAAGUCAGCGGUAAAAUUGAGAGGCUCAACCUCUUCGAGCCGUUGAAACUGGCUUUCUUGAGUGAGUGAGAAGUAUGCGGAAUGCGUGGUGUAGCGGUGAAAUGCAUAGAUAUCACGCAGAACUCCGAUUGCGAAGGCAGCAUACCGGCGCUCAACUGACGCUCAUGCACGAAAGUGUGGGUAUCGAACAGGAUUAGAUACCCCGGUAGUC